CUCGUAGGCGGCCAACUAAGUCAGACGUGAAAUCCCUCAGCUUAACUGGGGAACUGCGUCUGAUACUGGAUGGCUUGGAUUCGGGAGAGGAAUGCGGAAUUCCAGGUGUAGCGGUGAAAUGCGUAGAUAUCUGGAGGAACACCGGUGGCGAAGGCGGCAUUCUGGACCGAUAUUGACGCUGAGGAGCGAAAGCCAGGGGAGCAAACG
rnacentral:rRNA from 1 species